rnacentral:rRNA from 1 species
GACGAACGCUGGCGGCGUGCUUAACACAUGCAAGUCGAACGGAAAGGCCCCCAUCUUGGUGGGGGUGCUCGAGUGGCGAACGGGUGAGUAACACGUGGGUGAUCUGCCCUGUACUUCGGGAUAAGCUUGGGAAACUGGGUCUAAUACCGGAUAGGACCAUGGUUUAGUGUCUCAUGGUGGAAAGAUUAUUGUUUUGGUGCAGGAUGAGCUCGCGGCCUAUCAGCUUGUUGGUGGGGUAAUGGCCUACCAAGGCGUCGACGGGUAGCCGGCCUGAGAGGGUGGACGGCCACAUUGGGACUGAGAUACGGCCCAGACUCCUACGGGAGGCAGCAGUGGGGAAUAUUGCACAAUGGGCGCAAGCCUGAUGCAGCGACGCCGCGUGGGGGAUGACGGCCUUCGGGUUGUAAACUCCUUUCGUUAGGGACGAAGCCGCACUUUUUUGGGGUGUGGUGACGGUACCUUUGUUAAGAAGCACCGGCUAACUACGUG